CAAAAAAACAAUGUACAUUUGAAAGCAGACUUGAUUGCUGUACACAACGUGCCUCGUUUUCUACCUUACGCUGUUGCAACUAUUCCCAUACAAUCAUUACAUGGAGAAUUUGAUUGCUUUUUAGGAGUAAGUCGAUCAGAAUACCAUUCACCCUAGAAAAACGAGUCGACGUUGUACCAAAAUAUCAGCAAUUACGAUGUACUAUGUCAAGCCGGACUUAAUGUUAUAGGUUCAUCCACUGACAGUAGUUACCUCCACAUGGACAUAACAGUGUGGAUAUGCGUAGUCGUAGGCAUACUGAUUGUGGGUCUGGUAGCAGCAACUGUAAUAUAUCGGUAUUGGAGACGACGAGUACGAAACAUAGCUACAUCAAGAACUGAGAACAACCAAGAGGGGCCGGUAUACUCGGAGCCGGUAUACACGUACGUGCCGAGUCGAGUGAUCCCGAUGGAACAGGCGCGUGCGCUCGCCGCUGCGAACUGCCGUCUCCCCAAGUACGAGUCCUUCGUGCCUCGCCUGCCUGCCAGGGAGAACGAUUACGAAUACACUUACAUAUCGGAAAUUCGGCCUCGA